GGCCAGUCCACCGGUCCACUGCCACUGGUCACGGUCUCCGUGAAAACCACGGCGGCGCCCCUGACUUGCCGUGCAGCAGCGGCAGGGCCCGUACCUUCCUCCGCUCCUUCCGCCCUCCCUAUCCCGUCCCACCCACGCCCGCCCUAUCCAAGUACCGGAUCCAGCCCGCCCGCGGCACGGGGAAGCCACCAAACCGGGGCGGGGAAAGAGACGAAAAGCAAGGCGACGAGCGCCAACCCUUCCUCGCAUCACGCAGGCCACGCCACGCCACACGCGCGCCUGAUCCGUAGGGAUCCGGCAGCCGCCCGGCCAUGACGAGCGCCUCCGAGCUCUUCACCGCCCGCCGCGCCCGCGCGCCCCGCCUCUCCGACCCGGGGGACCCCGGCCCGGACCCGCUCGCCGACGCGCCGCAGGACCCGCACGGCCUCGCCGCCCGCCGCCGCCGCCGGGGCUGCCGCGCGCGCCGCCAGCUCGACGCCGCCGGGGACGUGCGCCAGCACCUCCACACCGGCCCCCCGCCCCCGCGCCGACGCGGCUCCUACACGGACCGUAUCUUGUCAUACAUAGACAAUAGCAACAUUGGGGAUUCUGCAGCUACAAGGAACCGACUUGACAGGCUGAUGUUCAGAACAAAUGAGCGGCUUCCCGGUGCCGUACUGCAAGCUCAGGCACGUGUUCUGGAGAGACUGAGAGGCGUUUCUAUCGGAUCAUCUACCUCCAGGCCAUCCAUCACAUUGGAUGAAUUUUCAGCUACGGAUGUGUUUAGAAUCAUCGACUUCGGAAGCAGAGAAGCCCCAUACGAGGCUAAUUGGCCUGGCUCAUCAUCUGUCCAGCCAAGCAGCGGGUCGGAUGAAGAGAGCUUGGAGAACACAUCCAUCAGUUCAACUACUUCCAACAGGUCACCUGGACUGAGCAAGUCUGCCUUUCUUCGGCUACAGAUAGAGAUCUUUGAGGCUAAGAAAGAUGACAACAGGGAGGCAUCGCCGGAAUGCUCGAUUUGUCUCGAUGGUUUCUACGACAGAGACGAGCUGAUAAGGCUGCGCUGCGGACACAGGUUCCACUCGACUUGCUUGGAGCCAUGGGUGCGGAAAUGCGCAGAUUGCCCAUACUGUCGAACAAACAUAAGGUCCCGGCCCUGAUGACAGACCCUCGGUCCAGAACUGCAACAUUGAGUAGGGGGACAAAAUACGUCGAAAUGAG
rnacentral:rRNA from 1 species